UGUCUCUCUCUCUCCUCUUUCUCUUUUCUUUUUGCCAUUGCGAUGGAGUUAUGGAGCGCCAUCAAAGGUGAUUCUCUCCUAAUAAAAAAAAAUUAAAGAAAGUUGCUAGCAAUUGGAGGAGAUGGCUAGGGUAAUUUCUUUUGACAGAAAGUUGGUAAAUUCUCUUUCCUUUCCUCUAAUCGAUUUUUAGAGUUUUAUUUAUGUUAAUUUCCCUUUGAUUUAUUUUUCAAAUUCGUUUUUUUUUAUAGAAAAUUCUAUUUUAUGAUUUUUUUUCUUCCUCGAACAAGCUUGUUAUAUAAGGGGGUCUAUUAUGUUAUUUAUGCAUAUAUGCAAUGAGCCGAUUUCUGCAAGUAGUGCUCUUUCACGGUAUGAAAUUAUGCGUUGAUUUUUCAAUUGCUUACCAUUUUUCUUUUAUGUGCAUACAUGAUACGUGGUUCUCCUUUUUCGAGAAACUUGAUCUUGAAGGUCUAUCCGGCUAUGUUCAUAGAAAAUGUUACUGAACUCGCAUUUGAUGAUAUCACACCUGAGGAUCCUGACUUCACAUUCAUCCAAGGUUUGGCAGAAGCUGGACUCAUAUCUAGCAAGCUUUCAAGACAUGAUAUGCUUUCUUCUGCUGAUGAAGAGAUAGAUCUCUCUGCUUUGUGCUUAUAUUCACCAGAGAUGUUUGAGGAUGCAUUUGAGCCUCACAGCCCUUGGAAGCUUAUGCCUAAUUUGACUGAUGAUUCUUCAUUAAUUAAUGUGGAAUUAUAUGAGUUUCUUCAGGCUUCCCUUCCUAAUAUCGUGAAAGUUUCAUCUUGUCUCUUUCAACUGAAGGGCAGUACUUUAAAACAUGGUAUUUCACUUCGCACUCUGAUACGGAGAAGUGCUGAUAUUUCUGGUCCUGCCUUAUUGAUUGUCGGAGAUAGAAAGGGUGCUGUAUUUGGUGGGCUCCUUGAUUGUCCUCUUAAACCUUGUCCAAAGCGGAAAUACCAAGGAACAAACCAUUCUUUUAUUUUUACGACUAAAUUUGGUGCACCAAGGCUAUUUAGAGCAACAGGUUUGGAGGUGUUGAAAUCUGAAGUUUUGGUGAAUCAUUUAAAAAUCGAGUCUGAAAUUGCAGCUGAUGCAUUACUAGAUUAUGUUACAUUUCAAAUUUUGCCAGAAAACAGAUAUGGUGCAUGCAUAUGUAGUGAGGAGAAAGAGGAAAUGGUUGGGGAUGGUCCUCUUGAGCAGCUCUUGGAACAUGUACCCUACAUAAAGGAUCAAAUCGUUAAAGGAUCCUGUGAUAACUUCAAAUUAGAGUUACCCAAUCCCACUGGUGACAAUGGAUGGUUCACAAAAGCCACGUUAAUGAGGUUUCUUCAUGUGAUUGGUUCCCCAGAUGCACUUAAUAAGUUCAUUGCUGUCAGUAACGAGUUGUCCCAGCUGGAGGAAACGAGAAAGUGUUAUCUUUCAUUACAUAUCCAGCUACAGGGCGAUAGGAGCGCAUCAUCAGAUAACUCAAACGAGUUUUCAGAUAUACUUGGUUGGGAGAACUUCAAACGGGUGCUUGCGGAUGAUGUAAGAAUGUUUCAUCACUGCCUUCAACCGUUGUUAAUGGACCAGCUAAAGAGAAUCAAACUCCUUUUGAAGCCACACCACAUUCAUUAGAUCCGUCAACACUACCUUGGACGGGAAUUUUUGGAUCUGAAGUGUUGUAUUGAUUUAUGGCUAUAGUAAUUUGGUUUGACAGAAAGUUAGCAAUUAGAAAGUUGGAUGGGUCUAAAAGAGUAGAAUAUCAAAAAGUCUUGAACGCCCAAAUGACAGCUGCCAUGAGAAAGUAGAGAGUAGAAAAGGAAGGGAAGAUAGUGAUGAGUCCUAACAAAAUCUCAGGGUUCAGGUUCUUAAGAAGGAAGGGAAAGUUGAGUAUAUCAUUGCCUUGCAGUGCCUUUUCUUUGUAAUUAUAUUUUUUGGUUCCUAGAAGAAGAAAGAGAUCUUUAUUUGCAGAAACCUUUCUUCAUCCCUUGUUUAUAGUAUUUGAAUUUAUGAUUCACUCAUCAGUCUACAAGUGCUUCUUCAAAGCUCUUUUAUGUUUGUUACUGUACUCAUUUUAUAAAGGCCUCUCUUUUUAAAAA